rnacentral:rRNA from 1 species
GACGAACCGAGCGAACGUUGUUCGGAAUCACUGGGCUUAAAGGGCGCGUAGGCGGGUGCUCAAGUCCGGGGUGAAAUCCCACAGCUCAACUGUGGAACUGCCUCGGAUACUGGGCGUCUCGAGGGUGGCAGGGGUAUGCGGAACUAUCGGUGGAGCGGUGAAAUGCGUUGAUAUCGAGGGGAACACCAAAAGCGAAGGCAAGAGACUGGGGCACUCCUGACACUGAAACACGAAAGCGUGGGUAGCGAAUGGG